GUAUUUACCUAAACGAGGUUAAUGAACGAUCGAUAAGACUCAUGACUUAAACUCGUGACUUCUAUUACACUUUGAAGGGGUGUCCGCCCCUGAAGUUGAUUCAAGUGGCUGAACUCAUAACACAAUUUAUGACAGCGCGGACCUGCAUUGGUGCGGCCCUACC